GUGGGGAAUUUUUCGCAAUGGGGGAAACCCUGACGAAGCAACGCCGCGUGGAGGAUGAAGGCCUUCGGGUCGUAAACUCCUGUCGACCGGGACGAAAGUGGUCCGGGCCAAUACCCCGGGCCAUCGACUGUACCGGUGGAGGAAGCCACGGCUAACUCUGUGCCAGCAGCCGCGGUAAUACAGAGGUGGCAAGCGUUGUUCGGAAUUACUGGGCGUAAAGGGCGCGUAGGCGGUCUUGUAAGUCCCGUGUGAAAUCCCUCGGCUCAACUGAGGAACUGCACGGGAAACUGCUUGGCUUGAGUUCGGGAGAGGGAAGCGGAAUUCCGGGUGUAGCGGUGAAAUGCGUAGAUAUCCGGAGGAACACCGGUGGCGAAGGCGGCUUCCUGGACCGACACUGACGCUGAGGCGCGAAAGCUAGGGGAGCAAACGGGAUUAGAAACCCUGGUAGUCC
rnacentral:rRNA from 1 species